rnacentral:rRNA from 1 species
UACGUAGGGGGCAAGCGUUGUCCGGAUUUAUUGGGCGUAAAGAGCGUGUAGGCGGCUUUACAGGUCCGUUGUGAAAACUCGAGGCUCAACCUCGAGACGCCGGUGGAAACCGUAAGGCUAGAGUCCGGAAGAGGAGAGUGGAAUUCCUGGGUGUAGCGGUGGAAAUGCGCAGAUAUCAGGAGGAACACCCGUGGCGAAAGCGGCUCUCUGGGACGGUACUGACGCUGAGACGCGAAAGCGUGGGGGAGCAAACAGG